UAUGGCUCAUUUACAGGGUCAAGGCAUAUGAUGCCUGGCUUACCUGGACGGCAUUCUACUCUCCUACCAGAAUCGCAACCACCUUCUUUUAACUACAGAUUAGAGGGUGACCAUGUCUGAAUCCCUCGGCUUCCUGGUCAAAUCAAGAAAAGUCAACACUGACUCCAACUCAAUAUGUGCAAGUCCUUGGGUUCGACAUCGACUCCCUGUCAUGUACACUUCGACUUCCAACUAACACAGUCAUGGCAAUACGCAAGGACAUACGGAAGAUUCUACGUUGGGAUUUAAUCCCACUCAGAC